rnacentral:rRNA from 1 species
GGGGAAUAUUGGACAAUGGGGGAAACCCUGAUCCAGCAAUGCCGCGUGAGUGAAGUAGGCCUUAGGGUUGUAAAGCUCUUUCGCCCGCGAAGAUAAUGACGGUAGCGGGAGAAGAAGCCCCGGCUAACUCCGUGCCAGCAGCCGCGGUAAUACGGAGGGGGCUAGCGUUGUUCGGAAUUACUGGGCGUAAAGCGUACGUAGGCGGAUGCGCAAGUUGGGGGUGAAAUCCCGGGGCUUAACCUCGGAAUUGCCCUCAAAACUGCACGUCUUGAGACCGAGAGAGGUAAGGGGAAUUCCUAGUGUAGAGGUGAAAUUCGUAGAUAUUAGGAAGAACACCAGUGGCGAAGGCGCCUUACUGGCUCGGUACUGACGCUGAGGUACGAAAGCGUGGGGAGCAAACA